GAAUGGAGAGGAGACAGAGGUACCAUCAUGUUAUAAUACUGCUGAAUGGAGAGGAGACAGAGGUCCCAUCAUGUUAUAAUACUGCUGAAUGGAGAGGAGACAGAGG